GCGUGGGGCAGCCCGCGCCGAGGGGUCCUGGCGGCGGCGGGAACGGAGAGCGGGGCCGUGAGGGGCCGUGAGGGGACCCGCUGUGCCGCCGGGUGUAAGGAGCAAAAGAGCCUUCCUGCUUCCCAGGGCAAUACUGGGGCACUAGCUAGGUACUGAUAUGGAAAUGUACGGUUCGCUGGCUGAGGAAGAGGGAACCACAUCCUUGAUCGACGUUUGACCUGUCACCAUCACCUACAGAAGACUGGACUGGGCUGGGCUGUGGGAAGCAGCAAUAAAGAGGCAAGAUUUUCCUGCUGUUACCAGGAGGAAAGGACAGUCUGCUGAUGAGGACUUCAGAUACAGACUGGACACUUCUUCACCCUUCAGCUGCCAGUGUGCCAUGAAGACUUCAGGGGCAGACUCUGCACGCCUUCUCCCCCUUCGGCCACCUGGAAAAAGCCCUCUGCCCAGCUAAUCUUUUUAAUAAAGAGCUGGACAUUAAUAAAGGCAUAAGCCCUGUUCAUUUCACCAGACACACACUGUGCCUCCAUAGCUCCCGAGUCCACCCCUUGUCCUUCUGCCAAUAUGCUGAUGGUUGGAGAAAAACCUUUCAAAACCUGUAUUUCUUCUGGGAAAUGCCUCACUAGGCCUUCCGUUAACUACAAGGAUAGACUGAGAGAUGAAUAAUAAACUUUAUUUUCCCACCUUUGUUACAGAAAUAUUUUAAAACAUGGGCUACGCUAUUCCUAAAAAUGGAAUAAGUGAGAACUUUCAGUUUGGACAUGCCAUCACUGCUGUUGGGAAAGGAACGCAGCUCUCAGCAGACAAAUCCAGCAGGCAGCAAAACAUCAGCACUGGGCUUCAGGUAACACUAAAAGUGUGUUAGUGCUGUGUGGUGACUGUGACACGAGUCCUGCCACUGAGACAAAACCAGUGAGAAUGAUUCACUUCCUACUGAUUAAUGUUACACAGUAGUCAUGGAAUCACAGAAUGUUUUGGUUUAGAAGAGACCUUAAAAAUAAUCUCAUUCCACCCAUGGGCAGGGACACCUUCCACUAUGCCAGGUUGCUCCCAACUCCCAUCCAACCUGUCCUUAAACACUUCCAGGGAUGGGACAGCUGCAGCUUCUCUGGGCACCCUGUGCCAGGGCCUCCCCACCCUCACAGGGAAGAUUUUUUUCCAGAAUCCAAUCUAAUCCUGCUCUCUGCCAGUUCAAAGCCACUCCCCCUUGUCCUGGCACUCUAGGCUCUUGUUGGCUCCCUUCACGUCCUGGAAGGCCACAAUUAGGGCACCCCAAAGCCUUUCACCAAGAAGAAAAAACCUCUUUGAUUUCUUUGAAGGCUGUCCAUAAGACACACAGUAGUUACCACGUUCAUUACAAGCAAAUUUUAUUGAAAACAAGGUAAAAAUCACUGCACUGGACAACACAGCGUGAGAGGUCUGUUUCCCUGGACACACGACACCCAGACUCCAGCCAGCAGAGCAAUGACACAGCUCCCCUGCCCCACAGCCAAGCCCACUUCUUCUCUUAAAUACAAGCCCUGUUUUAAAUGCUGUAGCCACCACUACAAAGCACCUUGCAUCUGAAACAGCACGUUAGAAAUCACUUAUUAAGCACCAGCUUAAUAAUAUUUGCUUACACAACUUAUCUUUUAGUUCUCCCUCUAUCACUCAUUGACAGGUUUGGUUUUUUCUUUUUUUUUUUUUUUUCUUUUUUUUUUUUUAACUUCAUAAGCACUUAAUUCUUUCUUGGUACAAAAUGUAUCCAAAACAAAGGCAAAAGACUCAAACAUCUUGCUGUGGAAAUGCUUAAAGUUGUUGCCACUUUGCUUCACUGCCCAGGGCCUGAGAGACUCUUGUUCAUGAACUGCCUCUUCACAAAGCAGAUCCACCACUGCAGAAGAAAGUACAGAGUCAGAAAUCAGAAGUGGUUUCCACUGACUUUAAAGUAUUCAAUCUCUGACACACCACAAAUAUUUUACACAUAGUUUUACAUACUGGUUUCUACUUGAAUUGAGGUGAACAAGACAACAGGAAUGGACACAAUGAGUUCAUAUGACAGGACUCUGAAUUAAAAUGGGAAAUUCUA